rnacentral:rRNA from 1 species
UACGGGGGGAGCAAGCGUUGUUCGGAUUUACCGGGCGUAAAGGGCGCGUAGGCGGCCAGCACAAGUCAGUUGUGAAAUCUCCGAGCUUAACUCGGAAAGGUCAACUGAUACUGUGCGGCUAGAGUGCAGAAGGGGCAACUGGAAUUCUUGGUGUAGCGGUGAAAUGCGUAGAUAUCAAGAGGAACACCUGCGGCGAAGGCGGGUUGCUGGGCUGACACUGACGCUGAUGCGCGAAAGCUAGGGGAGCGAACGGG